UUUGAAGUCAAACAAAAUAUCUAAGAGAGAGAGAGACACAGAACCAUGAAAGAGAGAGAAGAGAGGGAAAUAAGAUCAUCCAUGGAAGCUUGGAAAAUUGAAGAGAUUAAAGGGAAAAACAAGGAAUUGAGUUAAGGUCGAGACGAAGACAUCGCCCCAUUACUACUGGGAGCCGAUCACUGUGAACCAUCGGAGAUUGACACUAGAAUGGUAUUGAGGUCUACUUAUCUGCCAAGCUGCUUGGGGUACGCCUCCGUGUUGAGGCCUUAAUUUGUGUUGAGAGUCGUAUAAAUUAUUAAGUCUUAUGCAAGUAUGUGUGAGAUCUAUAUAA